UUGCCGCACGUGCAAGUGCACAGCUGAGGUCAAACAAGGCAAUAUUCUACCUCUUUGUUUCAGCUCUUACCGUAAACAAGUGUCCUUUUCAUGAUCUAUUUAGUACCACGUUAUUUGAAUUUUUGUGCUUUUUGUUGGUGAUUUUGCUGUUUAAAAUGGUCCCCAAGUGUAAUACAGAAACUCUAUCUAGUGUUCCUGAGCACAAGAGGGCUGCUAUGUGCCUUAUGGAGAAAAUGGAUAAGCUUCAUCCAUGCUGUUGGCCAUGAGUCCAAAGUUAAUGAAUCAAUGAUACAUAUUAAAUACGUUAUCUUUAAAAAGAAACACAUAUAAGACAAGGUUAUGUUUUGAUCAGCUGACAAAAAUACUGUUAUCACAGGCUUAUAGGAAUCUGACUCUUUAUUUCCUGUGGGAGUAAUCAUUCAAUGUUCAAUUAACUUGGCGUUCAUGGAAACUUUACAGAUUUACAGUGAAGAAGAAGAAUCAAGUGUACAUCCCAAUCUGAAUUACUGCAUUCAAAGAAAAAUUACCACUGCUAGCCACUCUACAAGAAUAGCACAGCCCUGGUAGAACUUUUAAAGUAACAGGAGAAAGGAAGAGAAGAAAGGAUAAAAAGGAAAAAGAAGAAAAAGGAAAAAGAAGAAAAAAUGAAAAAGGAAAGAAGAAACAGAAGAAAAGAGGAAAGUCAGAAAGAAUACAAGGGUUUGUUUUGUUGAAAGUGACAUACUGUAAUCUCAAAAUAAAUUAACCACAAAAAUGAAAUUGUUGACACAGAGAACUAGGAAUGUAAGAACUGAAUCUGGCUUUAGGAUAGUUGGAUCCAGGGUCUUACAUGAUAUCAUUAGGACACUAUGUCUCUAUUUCACAGCCCUUCACAGCCCUGUUUUUCCUCAGGAUCUGCUUCAUUCUCAAUCAGAACGUUUGCAAAAAAAGAGGGAAGGUGAUCACCAAUUUAGCAAGCUCAUUUAGACAGCAUCAGCAAGUUUCUUACAUUUACUGUAGAUUGGCUCACCUUGGAUCUUGUGCCCAACCCUAACCAAUCACUGUAACCAAGGACAAGUUGUAUAUACAGUAAGCAGACCCAGGACACAUUGCCAUUCCCAAAGCUAAGGAGCAUGUGAGCCCUACCUGACACAAAUGGACUAAGAGUGGAAAAGAGGAGACUCUCCAAAGAGAUUUUGAUCACACACACACACACACACACACACACAUAAGAAAAUAAAUUUGAACGAGCUAGUGAGCAGGAUAAUCUAAUAAUAUAGAGUUGCCAAUUCUGCUAAUCAUCCAUUGGUGAGAUUUUGUCAAGUUAAUUCAAUUUUAUUUUUGCUUUAGUUUCUUUCUAAAAAAAAAAAAAUGGGCAUAGAAUUUAUGCCACCAGCUGCUCCCAAAAAACAAGAUCCUCAAAUGAACCUUAACAAAGUACUGCCAACAUCACAAAUGGCAAAUGUUUGAAGUGUGGGCCCUACACUGAAGUUCUUCACAAUGUUAAUCUAUACAUGUAUGAAGAUUUUCAUUUUAAAGCCUUUCAUGUUAAAUAUUGUUUGAUCUGAAUAACAAAACCAGAAAAUACAAAGUUUUUCAUUUUAUAUAUGAUGCAUUUGUUUUUCAGGCCACAGUAAAAGAUAAUCCCCUGAAAACUCCUUCUCAUUUGUCACAUGGGAUUGGUCAUUUCCUCCCCUCCUAUUCUUAUUCUUUCUAGUAAAGUCACAUGUAAAGAAAGCCCAGGGACGUCCCUCAGUACAGCCUCUAUCAGGGCCUCUUUUUAAGAGGCUGACACCCGUGUAGAGGGCAUUGAAUUUCCUCUUUACUUUUCUUUCCCAACAAAAAAUAAAUUCCUUUUGGCCCCAGGCCCACCACUACCUAAGCCUUCUAAUUUGGGCAGAAUUAGGCCAAUCAGGAACCCUGCUAGGAGAAGAUCAGGUCUAUAAUGUUACUGUUACAAGAGCAGCCACAUCUUCCUCCAAAAUUAUCUCUGCUUCUUCCA
rnacentral:lncRNA from 1 species